GUCCACGCCGUAAACGAUGGAUACUAGCUGUUGGGAGCAAUCUCAGUGGCUAAGCGAAAGUGAUAAGUAUCCCACCUGGGAGUACGUUCGCAAGAAUGAAACUCAAAGGAAUUGACGGGGCCCGCACAAGCGGUGGAGCAUGUGGUUUAAUUCGAUGAUACGCGAGGAACCUUACCAAGGCUUAAAUGUAGUUUGACCGUUUUGGAAACAGAACUUUCGCAAGACAAAUUACAAGGUGCUGCAUGGUUGUCGU
rnacentral:rRNA from 1 species